UAGGGAAUUUUCGUCAAUGGGGGGGGACCCUGAACGAGCGAUGCCGCGUGAGUGAAGAAGGCCUUCGGGUCGUAAAGCUCUGUUGCGGGGGAAAAAAGGGACGGACAGGAAAUGGUCUGUCACUGAUGGUGCCCCGCCAGAAAGUCACGGCUAACUACGUGCCAA
rnacentral:rRNA from 1 species